rnacentral:rRNA from 1 species
UUCCGGUUGAUCCCGCCGGAGGCUACCGCUAUUGGAGUUCGAUUAAGCCAUGCGAGUCCAGAGCUUUCGGAGCUCGGCGUACCGCUCAGUAACACGUGGGUAAUCUAACCUAUGCAGGGGAAUAACCUCGGGAAACUGAGAAUAAUGCCCCAUAGUCCACUACGCCUGGAACGGUGAGUGGAUGAAAGCUCAGGCGGCAUAGGAUGGGCCUGCGGCGUAUCAGGUUGUAGGGGGUGUAAAGUACCCUCUAGCCCUCUACGCGUACGGGUGUUGGGAGACAUAGCCCGGAGAUGGAUUCUGAGACACGAAUCCAGACCCUACGGGGUGCAGCAGGCGCGAAAACUUGGCAAUGCGAGCAAUCGUGACCAGGGAACUCCAAGUGGCUGGGGUAAGACCCAGUCUUUUCAGAACUCUUCAAAGGUUUUAGAAUAAGGGGUGGGUAAGGACGGUGCCAGCCGCCGCGGUAAUACCGGCGCCUCAAGUGGUAGUCGCUUUUAUUGGGCCUAAAACGUCCGUAGCCGGUUUGGUACAUUCGUGGGUAAAUCAACUCGCUCAACGAGUUGAAUUCUGCGAGGACGGCCAGACUUGGGACCGGGAGAGGUGUGGGGUACUCUCAGGGUAGGGGUAAAAUCCUGUCAUCCUGAGAGGACCACCUGUUGCGAAGGCGCCACACUAGAACGGAUCCGACGGUCAGGGACGAAGCCUAGGGGCACGAACCGGAUUAGAUACCCGGGUAGUCCUAGGUGUAAACGCUGUGGACUUGAUGUUGGAGGAGCUCCGAGCUCUUUCAGUGUCGAAGCGAAGGUGAUAAGUCCACUGCCUGGGAAGUACGGUCGCAAGGCUGAAACUUAAAGGAAUUGGCGGGGGAGCACCGCAACCUGAGGAUUGUGCGGUUUAAUUGGAGUCAACGCCGGA